UCCGUAGGUAGAUAAUUAAGUCAGAGGUGAAAUCCUGCAGCUCAACUGUAGAAUUGCCUUUGAUACUGGUUAUCUUGAGUCAUUAUGAAGUGGUUAGAAUGUGUAGUGUAGCGGUGAAAUGCAUAGAUAUUACACAGAAUACCGAUUGCGAAGGCAGAUCACUAAUAAUGUACUGACACUGAGGGACGAAAGCGUGGGGAGCGAACAGGAUUAGAUACCCUGGUAGUC
rnacentral:rRNA from 1 species